AUUGAACGCUGGCGGCAUGCCUUACACAUGCAAGUCGAACGGCAGCACGGGAGCAAUCCUGGUGGCGAGUGGCGAACGGGUGAGUAAUAUAUCGGAACGUGCCCAGUCGUGGGGGAUAACGCAGCGAAAGCUGUGCUAAUACCGCAUACGAUCUACGGAUGAAAGCGGGGGAUCGCAAGACCUCGCGCGAUUGGAGCGGCCGAAAUCAGAGUAGCUAGUUGGGGAGGUAAAGGCUCACCAAGGCGACGAUCUGUAGCUGGUCUGAGAGGACGACCAGCCACACUGGAACUGAGACACGGUCCAGACUCCUACGGGAGGCAGCAGUGGGGAAUUUUGGACAAUGGGCGCAAGCCUGAUCCAGCAAUGCCGCGUGCAGGAUGAAGGCCUUCGGGUUGUAAACUGCCUUUGUACGGAGCGAAACGGUCUUUCCUAAUACGAGAGGCUAAUGACGGUACCGUAAGAAUAAGCACCGGCUAACUACGUGCCAGCAGCCGCCGUAA
rnacentral:rRNA from 1 species